AUACUAAUCUGGCAGGGGAGAUACCAUAAUCACAAAAGUGGUUUUUCAAGGCUGAGGUUUUUCCACUACAUUCUGAAAUGUAGUGGAUGUGUCGCCCUCCCCGCACCUAAAUUUUCUAAUGUGGGAACUUGACUGCUUAAGUUUUGGUAGUGGGAAACUGCAUUUGUGCUCUCCUGU
rnacentral:snRNA from 1 species